rnacentral:tRNA from 1 species
GAGGGUAUAGCUCAGUGGCAGAGUGCAUGUUUAGCAUGCAUGAGGUCCUGGGUUCACAGUGUCUCCA